rnacentral:RNase_P_RNA from 1 species
AGAGUCGCCCGGAUCACCGCGUUACUUAAGAGCCUAAUUAACUUUUAAGCACCGAGGAAAGUCCGGACUCCAAAGAGCAAAGUGGUGGAUAACGUCCACCCGGAGCAAUCCGCGGGAGAAGUGCAACAGAAAGCAAACCGCCAAUAGCAAUAUUGGUAAGGGUGAAACGGUGGUGUAAGAGACCACCAGUGCCGGUAGUGAUAUCGGUAGCUAUGAAAACCCCACUUGGAGCAAGAC